rnacentral:rRNA from 1 species
UGGGGAAUUUUGCACAAUGGGGGAAACCCUGAUGCAGCGACGCCGCGUGAUUUAGAAGGCCUUCGGGUUGUAAAAAUCUUUUCUAUGGGAAGAAAAUGACAGUACCAUAGGAAUAAGGACCGGCUAAUUACGUGCCAGCAGCCGCGGUAAUACGUAAGGUCCGAGCGUUGUCCGGAAUCAUUGGGCGUAAAGGGUACGUAGGCGGGUAAGCAAGUUAGAAGUGAAAUCCUAUAGCUCAACUAUAGUAAGCUUUUAAAACUGCUCAUCUUGAGGUAUGGAAGGGAAAGUGGAAUUCCUAGUGUAGCGGUGAAAUGCGCAGAUAUUAGGAGGAAUACCGGUGGCGAAGGCGACUUUCUGGCCAUAAUCUGACGCUGAGGUACGAAAGCGUGGGUAGCAAACAGG